rnacentral:lncRNA from 1 species
UCAAAUUACCCUUAAAUUUCCAAGCUCAAACACUUAAGAACUUACCAUUUGAGCUUAGAACAUAUCAUGGCCACAUCUUAUCUUAUUAAAUCAACUCAUCAUGUCCUAUUAUAAUUGAAUUUACUCAACGUUUAAACACUUAAAACUUACCUCGGAUGUUGUCGAACGAUUUCGAUGGCUAUUCGACCACUUUUUCCUUCCCUUUAUCGGAUUUAGUUCCCCUUUGCUCUUGAGCUUAAUUAAACAAAUAAAUUGAUUUAAUCAUUUGAGCAUCGAAAAGAGGAACACAAGGCACUUAGCCCAUAUUUAUACAUUAGACAUUAAGGUCACAUACAUGUGAAAUCAUGCAUCAACUCAACAUAUUAGCCAAUAUUCAUC